GUAGGAGAUUUUAAGGAAGAAAAUCUUCAAAAGCAGAAAAGGAGAGUAGGUAUUAGGUAACAGGUUUAAGGUUACAGUCCACGAGUCACCUUAACCAGGUGACACACACAAAUAUACACAUCAUAUGUCAAAACUCCUCUUCUCAACUCACCUUAAUCCCCCAAUUAUUUUAUUUUACUAAAAAAAUAAAUAAAUUGUUACUCUUUAAAACUGCAUUCCUCUGUCCAAAAUCCACUCCACAAGGUUGUUGUUGUUGUUGUUGCUAGGUUCAUAAUCUGCUCUCAACCAUGACUACAUCAAGGCGCGUAGCAGACAGGAAAGUGGCAAGGUUUGAAAGGAACAGCUUAAAGAAAGGAACUAAGAAGGGAUUUCCCUACCCAGUGGGUCCAAUUGUGCUUGGAUUCUUUGUCUUUGUUGUUCUUGGAUCAUCUCUGUUUCAGAUCAUUAGGAAUGCUGCAGGUCGUGCGACGGCGGUCUAAACCAUCAGGAAAGGAGAAUGGUUAUGAAGAAUUAUACAAUUACAAAUAGGGAUUUAGUAAAUUCUGUAAUUCACUUCAGAUCAGCUAUGUGUUGAUUGAGUGAUCUGAGAACUGAGAAGUGAAAAUAAGUUUGACUUUUGCCAAUACAUAAAUGUUCCAUUUUUUGCCUUA